rnacentral:sRNA from 1 species
CCGUAUCAGAAAGAUAGGGAUACUCAUCAAAUAAAAUAGAAAACACGAGUAGUCUUCCUUUGCCAAUGGCGGGCCACAUUCCUCGGAUAGCCGCAAGGCCGGUGGAUUACAAAAGCGGGGAGACGCUCACACCUUAUUCAAUAAGGAGUUUUCAUCAUCUUCGGGUACGGU